CUGUGCUGGCAGCUGUGUUUCUGUGU
rnacentral:piRNA from 1 species